UACGUAGGGUGCAAGCGUUAUCCGGAAUUAUUGGGCGUAAAGAGCUCGUAGGCGGUUUGUCGCGUCUGCUGUGAAAACUGGAGGCUCAACCUCCAGCCUGCAGUGGGUACGGGCAGACUAGAGUGCGGUAGGGGAGAUUGGAAUUCCUGGUGUAGCGGUGGAAUGCGCAGAUAUCAGGAGGAACACCGAUGGCGAAGGCAGAUCUCUGGGCCGUAACUGACGCUGAGGAGCGAAAGCAUUGGGAGCGAACAGG
rnacentral:rRNA from 1 species